rnacentral:rRNA from 1 species
AUUGAACGCUGGCGGCAGGCUUAACACAUGCAAGUCGAACGAUGACUCUCUAGCUUGCUAGAGAAGAUUAGUGGCGGACGGGUGAGUAACAUUUAGGAAUCUGCCUAGUAGUGGGGGAUAGCUCGGGGAAACUCGAAUUAAUACCGCAUACGACCUACGGGUGAAAGGGGGCGCAAGCUCUUGCCAUUAGAUGAGCCUAAAUCAGAUUAGCUAGUUGGUGGGGUAAAGGCCCACCAAGGCGACGAUCUGUAACUGGUCUGAGAGGAUGAUCAGUCACACCGGAACUGAGACACGGUCCGGACUCCUACGGGAGGCAGCAGUGGGGAAUAUUGGACAAUGGGGGCAACCCUGAUCCAGCCAUGCCGCGUGUGUGAAGAAGGCCUUUUGGUUGUAAAGCACUUUAAGCAGGGAGGAGAGGCUAAUGGUUAAUACCCAUUAGAUUAGACGUUACCUGCAGAAUAAGCACCGGCUAACUCUGUGCCAGCAGCCGCGGUAAUACAGAGGGUGCGAGCGUUAAUCGGAAUUACUGGGCGUAAAGCGAGUGUAGGUGGCUCAUUAAGUCACAUGUGAAAUCCCCGGGCUUAACCUGGGAACUGCAUGUGAUACUGGUGGUGCUAGAAUAUGUGAGAGGGAAGUAGAAUUCCAGGUGUAGCGGUGAAAUGCGUAGAGAUCUGGAGGAAUACCGAUGGCGAAGGCAGCUUCCUGGCAUAAUAUUGACACUGAGAUUCGAAAGCGUGGGUAGCAAACAGGAUUAGAUACCCUGGUAGUCCACGCCGUAAACGAUGUCUACUAGCCGUUGGGGUCCUUGAGACUUUAGUGGCGCAGUUAACGCGAUAAGUAGACCGCCUGGGGAGUACGGCCGCAAGGUUAAAACUCAAAUGAAUUGACGGGGGCCCGCACAAGCGGUGGAGCAUGUGGUUUAAUUCGAUGCAACGCGAAGAACCUUACCUGGUCUUGACAUAGUGAGAAUCCUGCAGAGAUGCGGGAGUGCCUUCGGGAAUUCACAUACAGGUGCUGCAUGGCUGUCGUCAGCUCGUGUCGUGAGAUGUUGGGUUAAGUCCCGCAACGAGCGCAACCCUUUUCCUUAUUUGCCAGCGGGUUAAGCCGGGAACUUUAAGGAUACUGCCAGUGACAAACUGGAGGAAGGCGGGGACGACGUCAAGUCAUCAUGGCCCUUACGACCAGGGCUACACACGUGCUACAAUGGUAGGUACAGAGGGUUGCUACACAGCGAUGUGAUGCUAAUCUCAAAAAGCCUAUCGUAGUCCGGAUUGGAGUCUGCAACUCGACUCCAUGAAGUCGGAAUCGCUAGUAAUCGCAGAUCAGAAUGCUGCGGUGAAUACGUUCCCGGGCCU